rnacentral:tRNA from 1 species
GGGCCUGUAGUCUAGUCAGGAAUGAUGCAGGACUUCGGAUCCUGAGAUCGAGGGUUCAAAUCCCUCCAGGUCCG